AUGCCCCACUGGCGUUGCAACGAAGCUUCCAAUGGAAGCACCACCGAGCUUUUUACCGCUCAUCGGUGCCGCCGGCGAUGUGACGCGGCGCUCGACCACGGCCACCGUGCUGCAAUGCAACCUCGUCGGCGUGCUCGCGCUGCGAUGCAACCUCGCCGGCGCCGGAGCUGCAAUGAAGCGCUCGCCGACGGCUCCCCAUGCUCCGAUGCAGCACUCUCGGGACGGUUCCCGGUGCUUCAUCGCAGUGCUCGCCUGCAGCUCCCAAUGCUCCGAUGCAGCACUCUCGUGGUGGUUCCUUGUGCUGCAUCGCUGCGCUCGCCGGCGGCUCCCCGUGCUCCGAUGAAGCGCUUCCCAUGCUGCAAUGGAGCUUCGUCGGCGCCUCCUCGUGCUCGACGCGGCGCUUCCGGUGCUGCAUCGCGGCACUCGCCGGCGGCAAUGAAGCAUCAACGGACCAACAGAGCAAUGCUGGUGCUGCAAUGGAGGGUGCUGCAGCUUCCGCCGGAGCUACAUGUGCAGUGCGUUGACUCGGGGACAGUGCGUCUGCAGCACACUUGA
rnacentral:rRNA from 1 species